CACGCCUUAGAGAUUUAUUUCUCAGGCUCUUUAGGAUUUUUUUGUUUUCUCUUCUUUUUCUUUUUUGAGUCUUCAGAGAGGCAAGAGUAAUUUCUCCCUUCCACUGUUGGGAAUCUGAGCUUCUGUUACUCUCAGAGAACCCCCUUUCCCGCAUCUUUUCCUUUAUACCUUUACUCUUCUGCGGGCUAGACUCUCCCUCGGUCCUCCAAGACGUCUCGCCGUUUUAUUUGAUUUUAGUUCUGUUCUUUGAGAGAAUCCCAGCCCCGGAGUUAUCUUUCCUUCCCUCUUUAGCGGACCCCCGCUCGCCUCCAUCCUCGUCCUCGGUCUGAGGCAUGGAGCCUCACGGCUCUCGGGAAUCCCCACCCCGGGAGGGCUCUUCCUUUCCUGGACAGUGGGCUUCCUCCGCCCUCGGACAGGCCUUCUCCCAGAUCUUGUACCAGUUUGCCGGUCAGGAAUCCCGACGGGGCAAGGCCAGAAAUGAAGCUCUUCGGGACCUCAGUGCUGUACUAGAUGCCAAAGAAUGUGAUCAGUUAUUUUCGGGGAGUGACACCUCGCUCCGUGGAAUGCCCGAGAUGCUGGGGCAGGUGGCAAAAGCCCUGGGGAAGUAUGCAGUUCCUCCCGAGGGACCGGAAGGGGGAGGUGAUCGUCACUCCGAAGUGGCCGAGAAAGCGGCAGCAAUUGGGUUACUCUUCCUUAAGCUGUUGAGGAAAGUUGAGACCGCUAAGAAUUCCUUGGUUUGCCCUGCAUGGAAGGCAGGCCUCCGUCACUUGGCAGGACCCAUCUAUAUUUUUGCCAUCACACACAACUUGGAGCAACCAUGGACCAGCCCAAAAUCUCAGGGCGUCGCUGGACAGGUGCUCGCCUUACUGCUUCAGGUUACUGAGUGUGGUUCUGUGGCUGGAUUCCUCCACGGAGAAAAUGAAGAUGAGAAAGGGAGAUUUACUGCGGUCAUGGGGCUUCUCAAACCCGAUUUGAAUAAGGACUCCUGGAAGAGUAACCCAGCCACCAAACAUGUUUUCUCAUGGACUCUGCAAAAGGUCACUCGACCCUGGCUGAGCCAACAUCUGGAAAGGGUACUUCCCCCAUCAUUGCUCAUCUCAGAUGACUAUCAAACCGAGAACAAAAUCCUGGGUGUCCACUGCCUCCAUCACAUUGUGCUAAAUGUGCCAGCUGCUGAUCUGCUGCAGUACAACAGGGCCCAAGUCCUAUACCAUGCGCUUUUCAACCACCUGUACACACGGGAGCACCACCUCAUUCAGGCUGUGCUCCUGUGUCUGCUGGAUUUAUUCCCCAUCCUGGAGAAAGCCCUGCACUGGAAGGGAGAUGCAGCCCGACCCACCACACACUGUGACGAGGUCCUGCAGCUGAUCCUGAUGCACAUGGAGCCCGAGCACCGCCUUCUCUUACGCAGGACUUACGCAAGAAACCUACCGGCUUUCGUGAAGAGGUUGGGGAUCUUAACUGUCCGGCACUUGAAGAGGCUGGAUCGAGUCAUCAUUGGUUAUCUGGAGGUUUAUGAUGGACCCGAGGAGGAGGCUAGAUUGAAGAUAUUGGAAGCCCUAAAACUUCUCAUGCAGUAUACUUGGCCCAGAGUUCCCUGUAGACUUGUGGUCUUACUGAAGGCUCUCUUGAAACUGAUAUGUGAUGUAGCAAGGGAUUCAAGCCUCACACCCGAAUCUGUUAAGAGUGCCUUGUUAGAAGAGGCCACAGACUGCCUGAUUCUCCUGGACCGCUGCUCUGAAGGACAGGUGAAGGGUCUCCUGGCUAAAAUUCCCCAAAGCUGUGAAGACAGUAAGGUGGGGAACUGUAUCCGAAGAGUGCAGCAGGUUUCUGAAGGAGCUCCCUACAAUGCAACUUAAGACUUGUAUUACUUUCCUGAAGAGGAAAAGAUUUUCUUUCUGUUCCAAUUGUUUUAAAUGGAAUCAUUUCAGGAAAAAGCAUCUGAAGAGCCACUGUCUGCCUCCUGCUGUUCCAGGGCCUUGUCGAAGGCAUGGAUGGGGAAGUUGUAGAUGUCGCCAUACUAAAGAACAUAAACGUGGGUCAGCUUUAACCACAUUUGGAUCUUAUGCUUGAAGUCCACUGUCCAACAAGUAUAUUAUUUUCCUCAGUGAUCAAACAAGAAUAAUUAGUAAUAUUACUAUAUUAUUUUCAGGCCUAGAGCCAGCAGUGUCUUUCAAAAACCCAUAUUUGACAUUUAAAUAAUCAGCGAUUAAUACCAAACAGGCACCUUCUAUGAAGGAUGGAUACCAGAUCACUUAAAACUUAAUAGUCUAUAAAACCCAUGGAUUGGAACAAAUGUAAUUUUGCUGAUAAAGGGGAAAUAGUAAGGAAAAAGUAAGUUUUAUUCAUGUUGUUUCUGUAAAUGACAUAAAUUUUUCAAAAGACAAUAAAAAUUCAUUUUAAAGAACCUUAAAAGUCUAGGAUGAAUAGGCAGGAGGAUCGAAACUGUACGGCUUUUAUAGAGAGAUCUAGAGUUGUUGUGUUUGGGAGGGGGAGUUGGGAAUAAUGGCAAAAAAGGAAAGGUCUCUCUACUGAAGUAUCAAGAGUAACUAAAGUAUUUUAUGUGCUUGAUCAGGAAACUAAAAUGAGGAAGCCAGGGCCUGUAUGAUAUCUAUUUUAUUCCAGUAAUAAAAUCAAGGUGAAGAUCUUUCUAACAUCUUUAAAAAUAAAACACAUUUCCCACUAUUCCUACAUUUCCUAGCAUAUUACCACCUAAAAAAUAAAAUCUGUACCCCAAAGUUCCUAGCUUUCUCACCGUAUCUUGUUUCAGUCUCUCCAGCAAUUCCUUUUCGAUGGCGUUGUCCAGCUGAGCAGCUAUUAAUGCCUUUUCCUGUAAGAGAAAAAGAGCAAACCCAUUUACUUCAUUAGACUCAUUUUUCAGCCUGUAGAAGUGGGAGAAAUCAAGUUUUUAUGUGAAAGAUGUAAUCCCCUUUUCCCUCUUACUGUAAUAGGAACUUCUGCCUGUCCAACCAGAUAUAUGUAUCUUUAAAAAAAUUCCUAUGGUUUUAUGAAUAGAUUUUUUUAAAUAGUUUGAUCAUUUAUUUUAUUUUUUUUAAUUUAUUUAUUUGGUUGCACCGGGUCUUAGUUGCGGCUCGUGGGCUCCAUGGUUGUGGCAUGCGUGUGGGAUCUAGUUCCUGGACCAGGGAUCAAACCUGGGCCCCCUGCAUUGGGAGCAUGGAGUCUUAACCACUGCGCCACCAGGGAGGUCCCUUACGAAUAGAUUUCUAAAUUAAAUUCUACAAAUUCUUUGACAGAUACACAAAGCAAGUAGGUCUACAUACAUUUAAGUCUCAGAAAAUUAGAAGUCCUGAAGCAGACUCCAUAAAAGCUGCGAAAAGGAAACAGAGACCUUCACCCAUUUACGCUUUCUAAAACGGUGUUAGAUUCCAUGUGAUAGACAG